rnacentral:rRNA from 1 species
UAACAGGAUUCCCCUAGUAACUGCGAGUGAAGCGGGAAAAGCUCAAAUUUAAAAUCUGGCGGUCUUUGGCCGUCCGAGUUGUAGUCUGGAGAAGUGCUUUCCGCGCUGGACCGUGUACAAGUCUCUUGGAACAGAGCGUCAUAGAGGGUGAGAAUCCCGUCUUUGACACGGACUACCAGUGCUUUGUGAUGCGCUCUCAAAGAGUCGAGUUGUUUGGGAAUGCAGCUCUAAAUGGGUGGUAAAUUCCAUCUAAAGCUAAAUAUUGGCGAGAGACCGAUAGCGAACAAGUACCGUGAGGGAAAGAUGAAAAGCACUUUGGAAAGAGAGUUAAACAGUACGUGAAAUUGCUGAAAGGGAAACGCUUGAAGUCAGUCGCGUUGGCCGGGACUCAGCCUUGCUUUUUGCUUGGUGCAUUUUCCGGUCGACGGGCCAGCAUCGAUUUUGACCGUCGGAAAAGGGCUAGGGAAAUGUGGCACCUUCGGGUGUGUUAUAGUCUCUAGUCGCAUGCGGCGGUUGGGAUCGAGGAACACAGCGCGCCGCAAGGCAGGGGUUCGCCCACUUUCGCGCUUAGGAUGCUGGCAUAAUGGCUUUAAACGACCCGUCUUGAAACACGGACCAAGGAGUCUAACUUACCUGCGAGUGUUUGGGUGGAAAACCCGAGCGCGUAAUGAAAGUGAAAGUUGAGACCUCUGUCGUGGAGGGCAUCGACGCCCGGACCUGACGUUCUCUGACGGAUCCGCGGUAGAGCAUGUAUGUUGGGACCCGAAAGAUGGUGAACUAUGCCUGAAUAGGGUGAAGCCAGAGGAAACUCUGGUGGAGGCUCGUAGCGAUUCUGACGUGCAAAUCGAUCGUCAAAUUUGGG